GAUGAACGCUGGCGGCGUGCCUAAUACAUGCAAGUCGAGCGAACAGACGAGGAGCUUGCUCCUCUGACGUUAGCGGCGGACGGGUGAGUAACACGUGGAUAACCUACCUAUAAGACUGGGAUAACUUCGGGAAACCGGAGCUAAUACCGGAUAAUAUAUUGAACCGCAUGGUCCAAUAGUGAAAGACGGUUUUGCUGUCACUUAUAGAUGGAUCCGCGCCGCAUUAGCUAGUUGGUAAGGUAACGGCUUACCAAGGCAACGAUGCGUAGCCGACCUGAGAGGGUGAUCGGCCACACUGGAACUGAGACACGGUCCAGACUCCUACGGGAGGCAGCAGUAGGGAAUCUUCCGCAAUGGGCGAAAGCCUGACGGGGCAACGCCGCGUGAGUGAUGAAGGUCUUCGGAUCGUAAAACUCUGUUAUUAGGGAAGAACAAAUGUGUAAGUAACUAUGCACGUCUUGACGGUACCUAAUCAGAAAGCCACGGCUAACUACGUG
rnacentral:rRNA from 1 species